CGUAGCCUGGCGCUCUGCCACCCGCCACACGAUCGCGCCUGUGUCUCCCCGCCUCGUCUCUUCUCUCCCUUCUCCCCCCUUGUGCUUGUGGUUAUCAUCACAGCACGAACCUGUACGUAGAGGCCGAUGGUAGACUCCGUGUACGGCGGCAGCGCUGCUGCCUUCCCCGCCACCGCCUCUGCGGGCGGUGCUGGCGCCGGUGCGACACGUUUCACCAGCGUCGCCCAGCUGCAUGCGAGAGAGGCGGGGGCGUCGUUGUCGUCUCUCAUGGAUGCCUUGUCGCGCUUGGAGGUGCUGUUUCGCGCCAGCGGUGAAGCUCUCUGCGCCACAACACAGUCCUCCGCGCCAGAUCCGAGGACCGAGAACGUUGCCCGCAGAGACCGUGACGAGCGUGCACCGUCAACAGAACCCAAACAGACCGCUCUGCAGGUGCCCUCUACGUUGGACGCUCUCGCCACGGCUGCCGCGCGGUGUGAUGCCGAAGUGGGCCAGCAGUUGGCUGUUCUGCGCCGCGGUGUCUCUGCCCUCGCCCAAGAGCUGAGCGCACUCUCGGAACGCUACCCGAGCAUGAACGCGAAAGGGAGUUGGGCUGGCGCGACGGGCGGAGCUGGCUCACCAUCGUCGCCGCCUGCCGCGACUCUGCGCACGCCACAGAUCAUGGCGUCGCCACCCUCUGCGCCAGCGGGAGGCAGCACCAGCGGCACCGCCCCAGCUCCUCGUGGCUCGUUUGGGGACACCUCGCCGAGUGACCGAGGCCCCGCUUCCCCGCCACGGGCUCACCGUUCAUCCAUCGUCAACACAACUACCACCCCCCCGCAGCUGCCGGCCGGUUCCGCUGCCAGCCGCGGCGUCGGCAGCGAUGCUGCUGUGCCUAGUUCGGGCCUCGGCGCGUCCUCUGCCGCCUCGUCUGCGGCGAGGCCUGCGAUGCCGGCAGCGUCUACACGUCCAGUCAGCGCUGCCAGCCCGCCUCUCCGUGCGGCGGCGUCUCCCAGCCGAACAGCUCCCCCAGCCGAGUCCACGGCGUCCCCGCCGCUAGCCUUCUCACUCGUCGACCGACCAGAGCUGCAAGUGCCGGCGGCGCAACUGCCCCACGCGGCGUGCGUGGAGAACGUGAAGAAGUACUUGAGUCACUGUGUGGAGUGGCCUCCGCGACCCCGUGAGCAGCGGCGAGCGCGGCCACCCCAGGGUAUGCACGGCGGCCGUGCGUGGAAGCGGGAGGACUCUAACGAUGGUGGCCGUGGCGGCGGUGAAGCUUCGCAGCUGAAAAGCCCAGAUGGCCAACCAACGCGCUCUGGGCUCGGCGGCGAUAGCACCCAUCAGCGCAGCGAGACUGACGAGUUCCUGCGACGGCUGACGGAAGAGUCGCCCUAUGAGUUGUCAGUGCCGCGCUCACCUCUGUCCAACUCCCGCGGGAGCCCAGCGGCCAGCUCCGUUCGCAGCGGCUACAACAGCAACAGCGGCAGCUACGGCAGCGGUGGCGACAACGACUUGCGCUUCGAGGAGGAGGAACAGCAACAGCAGCGUCAACUGUCCGGUUCCGCGGCUGCCGACCGCAGAGCUUCCUCCAAGGCGGCGAUCACGGGAAGCGGCAAGCGUCACCGCAGCCAUGGGCCUGUUCAGACCACGCCCACGCGUCGCACGCCGCGUCGACGCACUCGCAGUACGAAGGCGAACGGUGCCGAUGCGCAGCCGCAACAAGCGUCGCGCCGCCGAGGCCGACCAACGCUGCAGGAGUCUGUAGACGCGCUGGUGUUGGGACAACUCCGCGCUGACGGCAUUGCCCUUCCUGCACCAAUGGAGGCCGAGUUGUGCUGGUGCGAGGAAGACGACGUGAGCGCGGUGUCGCAGGGUGCCGAGGCUGCCUCAGGGGUUGCGGCAGCCGCUCGGUCUGCCAAGCCCGCGGCGAAGGGAGCGAAGCGGCUUAGCGAUGGCUCCUCGGGCAGGGGCUACAGCAGUGCCACCGGCGACGUCGAAGCUGACUUUGCUGUGGUUCUGCAGGAGGUGCGCACGCUGGUGCAGCACGGCCAACGCGGCAGUGUCUGUCGCGGCUCCUUGACUACUACAUCCGCAGGAUCCGCGAAGGAGCUCUCUACCGGUGUGGACAACCCUCGGUCCGAGCUGUCACGGGUGUCUGCGCAGCUGUCCACGCGUUUGCCAACGACUUCGACCUGGUUGGCUCAGAUCCACGACUUUUGCGCCCUUCUUGAGGACAUGGCCAUCGCUGCUGCCGCCGGAGACGCGGACGCCACAGCCUCGGCAGAAGAGGAUCGGCAGGAGGGGUCAAAGACAGGGUUCACACGGCGCUCACAGACCUCGGCAACAUCCCUGACGCGAGAGCGUGUAUCGGCAGCGCCGAAGGCGUUCUCGUUCUCCUCGUCUGCAGCCUCCUCUCCCAACCGCUCGUCCUCCGACGCCGCCGCCGCAGCGAGUGCCAGCGACUUCUCUACUGUCGCGGAUGAGCUGUUUUCCUCCGCCGAGGAGGUGGAGGGCUCGAACGACGGCGAAAGUGGCGAUGGCCAGCGCCAUCGCACGAAGCGGACACCUGUGACGUCUGCGGCGACAGCCGCGGCUGCUGUUGUGGAGGCCUCCCCGAUCUCGCUGAUGACAUCGCUGGAGCACUCGGUAUCCAUUGCUCAGCCUUCUUUGCACAGCAGCCAGAGCAGCAGUGCCGCCCCUUCUUCCUUUCGCGACACGUCACGGUCCGCGGAGCCGCACCAGGACGAGGCGGGGGCGGAAGCGGACGAGGGUGAGCCGUCUGCGCCGACGCAGCCGAGCCGCGGUCUGCAAGCCACAGUCGCUCUCGCGGAUGUGUGGCUGGGCGGCUUCGACGUGCCGGGGGUGCGCGUAGAUGGCAGUGGCGCCACCGCAACGCACGCGGUGCCCACGGCUGUAGGAGCCGCGUCUAACCGCGGCAGCGCCCCCUCGGCACCCGCGCCGACCAUCUCGUCGUCGCCUGAUCAGCAACACUUGCCCCUGAGGCAGCAGCGCACACCCACCACCGGCGCGCGCGCGCUUGCUGAGCAGCAUUCCUGCUCUCACGAGGCUCAGAAGCACUGGCAGCAAACGCUUCAGCAGCGGCAAGACGCCCUGUUGCAUCGGCGCUGCGUGCGAGUGCGUGCGGAUACGCCGGUGUCGCCGGCGGAGAGUCCUCCCCCAAUCACUGUCGCUGCCGGCGCGUCGGCCACUGACGAUGCUGUGCCCCAACGAACGUGGGUGCAGUGCAUGGGGGGAGGGAAGGUGGCACCAGUGAUGGAUCACAAGGCCGCCGCCGAGCACCUGCGCGCCCUCUGCGCACUGUUGCAGACCGAUUUAAUUGUCAUCAGCGCGCUGCAAGAACUGUCGGCGCUGAUGCGCACCACGCCCGUGGCGGUGUCCGCCGACACCGAGGCUCGUAACGGCAAGGCCGCGCCGCAGCCGAGCUCGCCAUGUAGCUUUUUUGCGGCUGCCACGCGCCUUUUGGUGUCUCUUCAGCAGCACCGCAAGAUACAGGCCCGCUCCGCACAGGAGGCAUACAUGCUACACGACGGCAGUAACCCGGCGACAAUCAGUAGCCAGUCUGCACACACCCUGACCUCCAUUUCCGACCCGCUUACCCCGCCUGGUCGCCGCGGUGUUGCAAUGACAGGCGGCGACGGCACUGGCGCUGCACCGCUGAUGCUUUCGGUGCUCCACCCGAUGAGCGCUCUGGGCUACAUCCCUAUGCUGCGGAGCGUGGCUUCGACGGCAGUGGACAGACUUCUGAGCGGCGACUCUGACGGCGCCGGCGACACCCUCAGCCAUGAAGAGCAUCUCACGCGCUACAUUCUGGCGGUGGCGCCGUACCUCCUCGCGUGGGAGACAGGCGCUGCUGAGACCGGCAACUGCGACGGCGCCCCGCGGCAGGAGGUGCCGCACCCCCACGAGCCCGUGAGCCCCGUCGGUGGGGAGGGCACUUUACCACUGGCAUCGGCGUUAUGCGCAGCGUCGCCCUCCAGACUGCCGCUUCCCGUCUGGGUAUAUGUGGAGUCUCUCACAACAACGCUUCUGGAGGAGGCGCGCAAGCUGAACGCCAUGUAUGAGCUCUACGUGCUUUUGGUGGCGGAGGCCACACUGCAGAGCCGUCGUAGCGGUGCCGGGUGUGCUGCCGAUCUCUCCAAGGCGACCUCCACCGCCUUCUCGCUGGCACCUAUGUGGCACGGUGGCACUGACGAGACGCUGAUGUCGUAUGUGCGCCGCCGAGGUCGGGCUGCGUCCAUUGCCCAAGGCACCGGCGUCUUGGGCAUGGCCGUAUCGCUCGACAAUGGUCUUGAAAAGUAUGUGACGCCCAUCAGCGCCUAUCUGCUGAACUCGUUCGACCAGUUGGAGGGGCGUCACCUGCUGCACAGCGUGUUUCAGGAGGUGCAGCUCAGCGACGUGGUGGCCCGCGUCCGGGCACGGCGGGAGCAUAAGAUGGGUUCUUCUCCUGCUGGCCGACGCCGCUCGCCCGGCGCCCCAAGCGCGGACGACGAGGAGGGUCUCGACAACUUCAGCUUGCCACCAGGCACGUUGUCGUCUCCCGCGCUGCGCAGCGCGGCAAGUGCGCAGCCGAGCAUGCGAGCCACAGAGCAGCGGACGUCUUCUGGGCGUGGCGGCGGCAGCGUGGAAAACGACGUCGACCAGCCAGCAGAGCAGCAACGGCGGGGCGACAGCGAGAGUGAAACCACGCGGCAGCGCCGCGGACGCGGCACCGCUCGGCGCCUCAUCAACCUAUCAGGCCCAGGCCAGACACGCCACGCUAUUAUCGAGGGCUUCGUUCGAUACCUGACUGGAGAUCGGCGCCGGAGUGGUACACUCAGCGGAGGUGCCAACAGCCCCUCUCACGGUACCGAUCAGCGAUCCGGGACCGAAAGCGGUGGCUCACCGUCGCAGCAGCGCGCCUCUUCGCACACUGCCUCCCACCAUCACAGCGGGCUGACGCUCGAUGUGCCGCACACAUCAUCACUGCUGCAGGAGAUGGACGCGCGACUCGAGGCGGGGGCGUCGAAUGUGGCGCUUAUUCGUUCGGUAGAGCGAAUGUUGGACACCGGCUCCCUUGUUGAUGCGCUUAAUGUCGGCAAGCUCCUUCCUCAUAAGCAGGCGGAGCUGUCGACACGGCACUACUUCAACGCCCGCGCCGCCACCUUCACCACGCGGCACACGCUGCCAUCGUACACUGCCGCCUGUGUAUCGGUGGUGCAGUGCCGCUGGCAGCCUGUGUUCCAGUCCACGAUGUGCUUCUGCCCCGUGACGCGCCGCCGUUGCCUUGACCCGCUUGUCUGCGGCGCGUUGCUUAUCUGCGCCACACUGCCGCCGCAGGAGAUCAUCUGCUCAGCCCCGGACCCGUCGCAGUCGUCGACGCCGACGCACGGCGUCUCGGGAGGACCAGCGGAGGUGGCCACGGGCCCUGCGACUGGCACGGCUGCGGCCACGAAUGCGAAUCGUCAGCUCCCCAACACCAUUCGAGCGCUGCGCAGCCGUUUUGAGCGGAGCACCGAGUCCUCACGGCCGGCGCAGCAGCGGCAAGUUCAAGCACCGUCGCCCCGCUCCAAUCUGCCUCAGCCGGAGAGCACUGCUGUCGCACUCAACGCCCCUGACAUGCGCACAGCUUCGCCAGGGUCGCCGCGGUCGCAGCAACAGCAACAGCAACACCAGUAUCAGCGGCUGCAACAGCAGCGCCCACCGGCGCCGCCGCUUCCGCAUGCCGCACUCCCAGACCCCAUCCGCAUCAUAUCUGUCUCUUCCCUCUUCCCAGCUUUUCUUCUUCGCGGACCGUCAAUGAUGCCGGAUGCGAUCACGAUUUCGCGCAUCAUGACGCGUGCCGUGACAGCCCUUUACGCCGACUCAGCCGUGCUGGCCAGCGACCGUGAUGAAGGGCGGGAGGAGGAGGAUCAGGAGGGUGGUGCCACUACCGCGACAGCUUCAGCUGCGGCAGUGACGCCUCUCAACAAUGACGCUUUUCAUGUCUUGCGUGCCGUCACGGUGCCGCUCGAUAUGCCGCCGGUGACGCGCAAUCUUCUCGCCUCGCCGGACAGGGCUUACGCGUCGUUGCUGAACCCGCCGACGCUGCUAGAGUGCGGACACGUGGUGUCCCACAAGACCUACCUCGAUCUGCGUACCACGGCGCGGCGUACAAAUCGCAACGCGGCUGCUGUCGCCGCAGCGGGUACCACCACGGUCGUGUGCUGCCCCUACUGCAGCAAGGUGACGGCGGUGAAAGAUGCCGUGACGCUGUCUUACCUUUACUGAGUCUCCUCCCUCUCUAAAAAAUAAAAAAUGGGGUUUUCGGCACACCGCAUCUUCACUUUUCUUUCGAGUCUCCCCGCUUCCUCGUCCGCCAUGCAGCCGAACGGGCGAGAUGGAAUCGGCGACGCGAGGCAAAGAGGAACGAAAACAGGGGAAGUGAAGAGAAGAGAGAUGUGUGCGUGUACGUGUGUGCAGCACCAAGUUCAGUGGCGUUUCAUCGCGUAGGUAGUACGAGCGUGGUGAAGAGGGAGAACUAGGGAAAGGCCGGCAUAAGACACGGAUUUUGUGGAUGUAUUUAGGAUCUCUCCAUGUGUGCCGCCGCACCUCCCCGUGCCCCUCCUCCCCCCUCCGCACAUCACCCGCCUCUUUCUUUUUCUGAACUCCCCCACGAGUGCACCCAUGGUGUGGUCUUCAACUUUAUUCCUGAGCUUCUCUUGCCGACGUUGCAAGCCAUCUGUUCAGCUUUCUGCGGUGCCCUC
rnacentral:misc_RNA from 1 species